GCACGUAGUUAGCCGAGACUUAUUCCUGAGAUACUGUCCUUUCUCAUCUCUCAGAAAAGUGCUUUACGACCCGAAGGCCUUCAUCGCACACGCGGCGUUGCUGCAUCAGGCUUUCGCCCAUUGUGCAAUAUUCCCUACUGCUGCCACCCGUAGGUGUAUGGACCGUGUUUCAGUUCCAUUGUGGGGGGUCACCCUCUCAGGUCCCCUACCCGUCGUCGCCUUGGUGAGCCGUUACCUCACCAACUAGCUGAUGGGACGCAGGUCCCUCCCAAAGCGAAUUGCUCCUUUAGUCAUCAGUUUCUAAACCUGAAGACCACAUGCGGUAUUAGCAAUCCUUUCGGACUGUUAUCCCACACUUUGGGGUAGGUCACCAACGCGUUACUCACCCGUUCGCCACUAGGAUACUCUCGUAUUGCUACAAAAGCACCUCGUUCGACUUGCAUGUAUUAGGCACGCCGCCAGCGUUCAUC
rnacentral:rRNA from 1 species